rnacentral:misc_RNA from 1 species
AAGGAAAAGAAUAUUUUUUAAAUUAACAUCUUCAGUUUUGAAAGACUUAGUACUAAUAAGUAGUAAGUUUUUCUCUUUUAAGAAAAAGGAAGGGCCUAUAGCUCAGUUGGUUAGAGCACACGCCUGAUAAGCGUGAGGUCGAUGGUUCAAGUCCAUUUAGGCCCACCAACUGAUCAAUAAGU